CAAACAAAGGUAUGAAGGCUUUAGGCCGCCCUACAUGUUAUUGUAGGCCCAGUUUAAUAUGCAACUUCAUUUUCUACAUAGCAGGGGGUCCCUGUUCCAUCUCUCUUUCAGUUAGGGGGUCCUUGGCUUAAAAAAACAUUGAAGACCCCUGGUCUAAUGUAUUUUAGCGGGUAUACUGUUCUACAUAAAUACAUAGACCAGAAUGGACAUAUCAAAGUGGGGCGUCAAAGACUUAAUUUUCUGCAUUUUGAUACACUUUUAUGCACCAGUUUACAGUGGAAAUACCUUUAUUUAGCCUAUGUGAAGGAAAACAAUUCAAAAUAUAUCAAAAAUAUAAUGGAAAGUAUGUUGUUAUGUGCCAUUGCACAUUUGUAGGUGGGUAUAAUGAAACGCUGGAGCUUUCUUAGUGGGUUUACUGCGUAUACCUGCAUAUCACGUAGACUACACCACUGCAUCAGAGGUAUUUCUAUGAUUUAAGCUUAACUUUUUGUGCAUCUAGGGUUGCAAAGGGGCGAAAAUUUUCCUGUAAAUUUCCGGAAACUUUCCAUGGAAUGUUUAGCUGGGGAAUUUUGGAAACAAUCCAGUUUUUAUUUACUAUGGUUAGUGGGCUAUACAAUUAAAACAGAUAUAGGUUAAUAAUAGCAAUGGGUUAUGUAUUAGCAGUAUGUACUAACAGUUUUAUAACAAGCAAUAUUACAACUAUCCAGUUUAUUCCCAUUAAUUCCCGCUAAUUCCCGUUAAUUUCCAUGGAAAGUUUCCAACUUUGAAAAUUCCUGGAAUUUUGCAACCCUAUGUGCAUCAGAGGUCACCCGGAGUACUUUUAACCACUUCCUCAAUGACUAAAACAGCUCUUUUGCAACGAGCACAUAUACAUAUUUUGUUGAUAAAAUAUUUCUACAACAGUGAGUCAUAACGGAAAAAGAACAUAAAUAAACCACCUAAAAGUAGAUUAUUAAAUUAUCUGGUAUCGGAUCGGUACAUAAACUCCAUAAACAGUACUUUCUGAUACCGAUACCAGCAUUUUAGGCAGUAUCAGAGGCGAUAUUGGAACAGCUCUAGUAUUAUACCACUAGAGGGAGCUUGGGUACCACUAGAGGUAGCUAACGUACCACUAGAGGGAGCUAACGUACCACCAGUGGUACUUGUGCCACAGUUUGAGAACCAGUGUGUUAAACCAUAACUUCACAGUGUUCACAGAAAUUAGUUUGGAGAAAGUGCCAAUGAUUAUUCCACUCAGUCGCCUUAGUUUUGUUUUUUACAAGAAAAGAAAAGUGCUACGGUACUUUGCAGGAUCAGUAUUUACUCUUUGUUGAUGUGUGAGUGGUGGGGAGGGCGUUGUGUUUACAUUUGUAAUUGUCAGUAUUUGUUGUUCAAGUUGUUAUUCAUGUAAUUUAUGUAAUUCCUAACAGACCUGUGUUUUAAUGUAAGAUGUGUGGAGAUUCAGCUUGAAGACGAAGAAAACGCUAAAUUCUGAAUUAAACUCUGAAAUUCCAUGAUGUGAAUUGAAA